rnacentral:tRNA from 1 species
CAAAAUGUAGCUUAACCCAAAACAUCUCGCUUACACCGAGAACAUGUCUGUGAAACUCAGACCAUUUUGA